rnacentral:rRNA from 1 species
GACGAACGCUGGCGGCGUGCUUAAUACAUGCAAGUCGAACGGAAAGGCCCUGCUUUUGUGGGGUGCUCGAGUGGCGAACGGGUGAGUAACACGCGAGUAACCUGCCCUUGACUUUGGGAUAACUUCAGGAAACUGGGGCUAAUACCGGAUAGGAGCUCCUGCUGCAUGGUGGGGGUUGGAAAGUUUCGGCGGUUGGGGAUGGACUCGCGGCUUAUCAGCUUGUUGGUGGGGUAGUGGCUUACCAAGGCUUUGACGGGUAGCCGGCCUGAGAGGGUGACCGGCCACAUUGGGACUGAGAUACGGCCCAGACUCCUACGGGAGGCAGCAGUGGGGAAUAUUGCACAAUGGGCGGAAGCCUGAUGCAGCAACGCCGCGUGCGGGAUGACGGCCUUCGGGUUGUAAACCGCUUUCGCCUGUGACGAAGCGUGAGUGACGGUAAUGGGUAAGGAAGCACCGGCUAACUACGUG